rnacentral:rRNA from 1 species
UACGUAGGGUGCAAGCGUUAAUCGGAAUUACUGGGCGUAAAGCGUGCGCAGGCGGUUGUGUAAGACAGAUGUGAAAUCCCCGGGCUCAACCUGGGAACUGCAUUUGUGACUGCACAGCUGGAGUGCGGCAGAGGGGGAUGGGAUUCCGCGUGUAGCAGUGAAAUGCGUAGAUAUGCGGAGGAACACCGAUGGCGAAGGCAAUCCCCUGGGCCUGCACUGACGCUCAUGCACGAAAGCGUGGGGAGCAAACAGG